rnacentral:rRNA from 1 species
GACGAACGCUGGCGGCGUGCCUAAUACAUGCAAGUAGAACGCUGAAGGAGGAGCUUGCUUCUCUGGAUGAGUUGCGAACGGGUGAGUAACGCGUAGGUAACCUGCCUGGUAGCGGGGGAUAACUAUUGGAAACGAUAGCUAAUACCGCAUAAGAGUAGAUGUUGCAUGACAUUCGCUUAAAAGGUGCAAUUGCAUCACUACUAGAUGGACCUGCGUUGUAUUAGGUGGUUGGUGGGGUAACGGCUCAACAACGCGACGAUACAUAGCCGGCCUGGGAGGGGGAUCGGCCCACACUGGAACGGAGAAACGGUCAAAACUCCUCCGGGGGGAGGCGGAGGGGAAUAUUGGGCAAUGGGGGAAGGCUUAACGGAGCAAGGCGGGGGGGGGGAGGAAGGUUUCGGGACGGUAAAACACGUUGUAUGGGAAGAAAGAGUAUGAGAGUGAAACGUUCACGUUUUGACGGUACCUUAACAGAAAGCGACGGCUAACUACGUG